rnacentral:rRNA from 1 species
AAUGAACGCUGGCGGCGUGCCUAACACAUGCAAGUCGAAUGUGCCGCAAGGUGCAUGGCAGACGGGUGAGUAACGCGUGGGCAAUCUACCUUUUCGUGGGGAAUAACGAUCCGAAAGGAUUGGUAAUACCGCAUGAGACCAAUGGCUGGGAUGCUGUUGGUGAAACCUGGGGACCGCAAGGCCUGGGGCGAAAAGAGGAGCCUGCGUCUGAUUAGCUAGUUGGCGGGGUAACGGCCCACCAAGGCUUCGAUCAGUAGCCGGCCUGAGAGGGUGAUCGGCCACACUGGAACUGAGACACGGUCCAGACUCCUACGGGAGGCAGCAGUGGGGAAUUUUGCGCAAUGGACGAAAGUCUGACGCAGCAACGCCGCGUGGGUGAUGAAGGUCUUCGGAUUGUAAAACCCUGUCGUCGAGGACGAAGGUCGGAGUGUUAAUAGCGCUUUGGCUUGACGGUACUCGGAGAGGAAGCCCCGGGCUAACUCUGUGCCAGCAG